rnacentral:lncRNA from 9 species
CCUCACCAGGAAAGUCUCCACGAGCUAAUCACACACCCUGCUCCUCAAACACUCUAAGACUCCUCACUACCAGCUCCAAAGGGGCACAGUCCUUGAGGCACUAGACUGCUGUGUCCCCUCUUUGCCUGGCAAUUAAAGCUACUUUUUCUGUUUCCUCCAACUCUGUCUCCAUGUUUCUAUUUGGCACCGGAAGUAGUCGAGAUUUUAGCAACAGAAGGAAUGGCUCUUCUUGCCACCUGGCCUCCCACAGGGUGUAUUUUGCACACAACUUUCGGAUCCUCAAAAAGGGGAUGCAUCUGGAGCUCUUCUUCUCAAACCUAGAGUGGCACUGGGGGAUGCUUCCAAAAGAGGAAAUGACGCUGGAGACAUUCCAGGCUCUGCCCUUGAGGAGCCCAGUCAGAAGUGAAACAGAACAUGCCUCCAAGUAGCUUCAUCCAAGGACAAAACGAGUAAGAAAAACAUCCCUGUGGGUGAUGCGGACAAGGUGAUAUCAAGGUUUGGAAGGUGGGAUUGUUUCCAGCUGUGGGGUCAGGGAGGACUUGUCGGGAUAACAGCUAAGGCUGUAUAAGGAUGGAACCUUCUGAGAGUCAACACUUGACAUAUGUGUGCUGGAAAUUCCCGAAGAGUGUCGGUUACUUGAAGGCUGUGUGAACUGUUGACUUGUGGGUGGUCUGGCUUGCAGAGACUGUGUUGUCCAGUUCCUGUGAAGCAGCAGGGGUGAGGGACAGGCAUGGGGUUGCCGAGUCACAGCUCAACCCUCUUGCCUCCACUUAGAUUAUUUUCUAUGGUUUGCAUGAAUUAUACUUUCUUUUAAUGGAGUCUUUUGAAAAGAGAGGUUAUGUGUAGUCCCCACUCUUUUUAGGAAAUAAGCUAAGGAUAUAGGUAAGUUUAAUGACAACAUCGUAAGUUUAAUGAUAACAUCUGGCAUAGCUUGCCACACCCUAAAUUUGGGAAAUCCUUGAUGCCUGUUGACUUGUGUCCAAAGCCUCACCAUUACUCAUAUGAGGUUUGAAAAUCAAGUGCUCAGGGAGCUCCCGUCAUGACUCAGCAGAAAUGAACAGGACCAGGAACCAUGAGGACGCAGGUUCACUCCCUGGCCUUGCUCAGUGGGUUAAGGAUCUGGUGUUGCCAUGAGCUGUGAUGUAGAUCUCAGAUGCGGCUCAGAUCUGGUAUUGCUAUAGCUGUGGUGUAGGCCAGCAGCUGUGGCUCCGAUUCGACCCCUAGCCUGGAAACUUCCAUAUGCUUCAGGUGCAGCCCUAAAAAAAAUAUCAAGUGCUCAGGAAAGAAGCUACAGUCCUUUAAGGCAUCUCGGAUCAUUUUUGCAUAAAGAAUAUGUCUGGUCUUUUUCCUGGGUUCCUGGCGUAAACCUCAAAAAUCCCAAUGGAUUUCCUGAGUGAUAGAAUUUCUGUGAUGCUCUUGGGGUGACUCCUAGUGGGUCCAGGUAGCUUCAGGAUGGGAGCUUGUCACCCUGUGAGGGGAUUGGGACCUUGAACCCCCUGGUCUUUGGGGAGCGAAUUAGGGCUGGAAUUUGGAUA